rnacentral:piRNA from 1 species
UNUCUACUCUGGCACUGCUAAUCCUCCGG